rnacentral:rRNA from 1 species
UACGUAGGAGACGAGCGUUGUCCGGAAUUACUGGGCGUACAGCGCGUGUAGGCGGAUCGGCAAGUCUGCUGUGAAAGCUCCUGGCUUAACCGGGAGUGGUCGGUGGAAACUGCCAGUCUGGAGGACGGUAGAGGUAGGUAGAAUUCCCGGUGUAGUGGUGAAAUGCGUAGAGAUCGGGAGGAAUACCUGUGGCGAAGGCGGCCUACUGGGCCGGACCUGACGCUGAGACGCGAAGGCGUGGGGAGCGAACGGG